rnacentral:rRNA from 1 species
GACGAACGCUGGCGGCGUGCUUAACACAUGCAAGUCGAACGGAAAGGCCCUGCUUUUGUGGGGUGCUCGAGUGGCGAACGGGUGAGUAACACGUGAGUAACCUGCCCUUGACUUUGGGAUAACUUCAGGAAACUGGGGCUAAUACCGGAUAGGAGCUCCUGCUGCAUGGUGGGGGUUGGAAAGUUUCGGCGGUUGGGGAUGGACUCGCGGCUUAUUAGCUUGUUGGUGGGGUAGUGGCUUACCAAGGCUUUGACGGGUAGCCGGCGUGAGAGGGUGAACGGCCACAUUGGGACUGAGAGACGGCCCAGACUCGUACGGGAGGCAGCAGUGGGGAAUAUUGCACAAUGGGCGGAAGCCUGAUGCAGCAACGCCGCGUGCGGGAUGACGGCCUUCGGGUUGUAAACCGCUUUCGCCUGUGACGAAGCGUGAGUGACGGUAAUGGGUAAAGAAGCACCGGCUAACUACGUG